rnacentral:tRNA from 1 species
CGUCGGGCUCAUAACCCGAAGGUCGUUGGUUCAAAUCCAGCUCCCGCUACCA